rnacentral:rRNA from 1 species
GUGCCAGCAGCCGCGGUAAUACGUAGGGUGCGAGCGUUGUCCGGAAUUACUGGGCGUAAAGAGCUCGUAGGCGGUUCGUCACGUCGUCUGUGAAAUCCUAGGGCUUAACCCUGGACGUGCAGGCGAUACGGGCUGACUUGAGUACUACAGGGGAGACUGGAAUUUCUGGUGUAGCGGUGGAAUGCACAGAUAUCAGGAAGAACACCGGUGGCGAAGGCGGGUCUCUGGGCAGUAACUGACGCUGAGGAGCGAAAGCGUGGGGAGCGAACAGGAUUAGAUACCCUGGUAGUCCACGCCGUAAACGGUGAGUACUAGGUGUGGGUUCCUUCCUUGGGAUCCGUGCCGUAGCUAACGCAUUAAGUACCCCGCCUGGGGAGUACGGCCGCAAGGCUAAAACUCAAAGGAAUUGACGGGGGCCCGCACAAGCGGCGGAGCAUGUGGAUUAAUUCGAUGCAACGCGAAGAACCUUACCUGGGUUUGACAUGCACGGACGCCG